CUGAUUUACAGUAUUUAAUGUAUUGCAGAGUACUGUAUCCCCUGAAUUAGCCACAGAAUAUAUGACGGAGCAAUUCUACUUUCUGAGCAUUACAACCAUACACGGACAGUAACCAAGAACUCCAGUUUUGCCGUCUUACUGUCAUCAUCUUGCUGACAGCGAUGUAUUUCCUACUGACUUAGUGCUGUAGAACCGAUGUGGAUAUGAUUUACUUGUGCAGCAAUGUAAAAGGUUUCUUAAUAGAAUCUUAAGUUUAGAGGAAAACAAUAAACUGAGGCAGCUAGUAACGGAGAACUUAACACUCCUGGGAGAUGAAUGGCAUUCAUCGAAGUGGGCUCAUUCACACAACAGUUUACAUGGGAUUGAAAUUCCUGGCAUAAAAAGGUGUUUGGAAACUUUCUGGCCAGACAAGAAGAGGUUCUGAAUCUUGGGAGUCUGACAGGAUUCCUGCAGCCUGUGUCACACAUCUCUGCUGGUCAUCGUGGUCAAGGAAAACACUGAAGAAAUCCAGAAUGAUCAAAAUGACUCCAACAGAACUGAGAGGAAUUGGUCCCAACCCACACCGAGCUGCUGCUGUGCUUCCCUUGUGAAAGACUGGGACUUGGAGGAAGUGGUACAGCUCGUUCAGACGGAGAUGUCCAAAGGAGGCACGGAGGAGCUGAUGCACAACGCACCGAGAAGAGAUCUUUGCUCUCCAGCAGUGUUGUUUAGAACCGCAUGCAGAAAAACUGCCAAACGGUGACAGCCUCGUGCUGAAUUCAGUGCUGGUGGUGAAACACGGCUUAAAGGUUGGGCAUUCAUUUAAGAGUUGUAUAAUGAAAGUAAUUUAAGCCGUAUGUCUGGAAAAGAAAACAUCACUAAUGUGGGUUUGUGGCCACUGCAACUGCCAGGCUGGCAGAGUGGGAGCGUGGCUGCCCAGCACAGAGCAGGGCGCGGAUCUGUGAGUGCUUCUCAUUAACGCUGCACAAAAAUGCCAAUAUCUCAAACCCAUCAAAACUUCCACCCUCAGACCAAGAAAGUGACGCAGCGUUACUGUAGUGUUAGCUGUAAUUCAGGAUGUGAUGCAGCACUAUCGUUGUGUUAGCUGUAAUUCAGGAUGUGAUGCAGCACUAUUGUCACAUUAGCUGUAAUUCGGGAUGCGACAGGACAAUAAAGCACCAAUAAUUACCAACGCGCACCUCCCAGGGCCGGGCAGGACGGGCUCAGCGCUGCGCCGCAGCCCACAGCCGCCCAUCAGCGCUCCCCGGGCUCUGCCCGCCGUGUCUGAAGAG
rnacentral:lncRNA from 1 species